UACGUAGGGAGCAAGCGUUGUCCGGAAUCAUUGGGCGUAAAGCGCGCGUAGGCGGUUACUCAAGUCGGAUGUGAAAGCCCUCGGCUUAACUGAGGAAGUGCACCCGAAACUGAGUAGCUAGAGUACCAAAGAGGGUCGCGGAAUUCCCGGUGUAGAGGUGAAAUUCGUAGAUAUCGGGAGGAACACCGGUGGCGAAGGCGGCGACCUGGGUGGAUACUGACGCUGAGGCGCGAAAGCGUGGGGAGCAAACAGG
rnacentral:rRNA from 1 species